AAGUUCUCGGAUCUCGCGGCAGGCUUGUUUGGAGAUAGCUUUCCUUUCCUUGGGUUAAUCCGUUGAGCGUGGAUUCGAUCGAGGGACAUAACCGAGUAUUCAGGUAAGGGCACAGCGAGGGGCAGACCGACGGGAGGCAGGAAGGACGCGU